rnacentral:rRNA from 1 species
AUUGAACGCUGGCGGCAUGCUUUACACAUGCCAGUCGAACGGUAACAGGCCGCAAGGUGCUGACGAGUGGCGAACGGGUGAGUAAUGCAUCGGAACGUGCCCAGUCGUGGGGGAUAACUACUCGAAAGAGUAGCUAAUACCGCAUACGAUCUAUGGAUGAAAGCGGGGGACCGUAAGGCCUCGCGCGAUUGGAGCGGCCGAUGUCAGAUUAGGUAGUUGGUGGGGUAAAGGCUCACCAAGCCAACGAUCUGUAGCUGGUCUGAGAGGACGACCAGCCACACUGGGACUGAGCCACGGCCCAGACUCCUACGGGAGGCAGCAGUGGGGAAUUUUGGACAAUGGGCGCAAGCCUGAUCCAGCAAUGCCGCGUGCAGGAAGAAGGCCUUCGGGUUGUAAACUGCUUUUGUACGGAACGAAACGGCUCUGGUUAAUACCCGGGGCUAAUGACGGUACCGUAAGAAUAAGCACCGGCUAACUACGUG